UACGUAGGGGGCAAGCGUUGUCCGGAAUCAUUGGGCGUAAAGGGCGCGUAGGCGGGAUGGCAAGUCGGUCGUGAAAUCCUUCGGCUCAACCGAAGAACGUCGGCCGAUACUGCCGUUCUUGAGGGAUGCAGAGGAGAUUGGAAUUCCCGGUGUAGCGGUGAAAUGUGUAGAGAUCGGGAGGAACACCGGUGGCGAAGGCGGGUCUCUGGGCAUCUCCUGACGCUGAGGCGCGAAAGCGUGGGGAGCAAACGGGG
rnacentral:rRNA from 1 species